rnacentral:rRNA from 2 species
CAUGCUGUAAACGAUGAAGACUGGCUGUUGGUUGCCCUUGGGCAAUUAGUAGCGAAGCUAACGCGUUAAGUCUUCCGCCUGGGGAGUACGGCCGCAAGGUUAAAACUCAAAGGAAUUGACGGGGGCCCGCACAAGCGGUGGAACAUGUGGUUUAAUUCGACGCAACGCGAAGAACCUUACCUACCCUUGACAUGCUCGGAAUCUGCCAGAGAUGGUGGAGUGCCUUCGGGAGCCGAGACACAGGUGC